rnacentral:snRNA from 1 species
GUCCCUUCAGGAUAUUCAAUAAAAUUGAAACGAUACAAAGAAAAUUAGUGGUGUUCUUGUGGAGGGAUUACAUGCUGAAAUCAAGAAACGGUAAUUU